rnacentral:rRNA from 1 species
AACGAACGCUGGCGGCAGGCUUAACACAUGCAAGUCGAACGCCCCGCAAGGGGAGUGGCAGACGGGUGAGUAACGCGUGGGAAUCUACCCAGCUCUACGGAAUAACUCAGGGAAACUUGUGCUAAUACCGUAUACGUCCGAGAGGAGAAAGAUUUAUCGGAGUUGGGUGAGCCCGCGUUGGAUUAGCUAGUUGGUAGGGUAAUGGCCUACCAGGGCGACGAUCCAUAGCUGGUCUGAGAGGAUGAUCAGCCACACUGGGACUGAGACACGGCCCAGACUCCUACGGGAGGCAGCAGUGGGGAAUAUUGGACAAUGGGCGAAAGCCUGAUCCAGCCAUGCCGCGUGAGUGAUGAAGGCCCUAGGGUUGUAAAGCUCUUUCACCGGUGAAGAUAAUGACGGUAACCGGAGAAGAAGCCCCGGCUAACUUCGUGCCAGCCGCCGCCGUAA